AAAAAGCCUCCCUUCUCCUAAACUAGUUGCCACUCAUCCCUACUUCUUCUUCUUCCCUUCUUCACCCCACAGCAACCAGUCACUUCCAAAAAACCCUGUCACACUCCUUGACAGAACAAAAACCAAAACCAACACUAAUAGCUAGUACAAGACUCAUAAAGUUCACGUUGCAACACUGUUUCAAAUGGCGAUCUUGGCCCAGAAGCAACGGGACUUGACUCAAUCAUACCAAAAAAUCUCCUCUCUGUUUGAGUUUGAGUCUAUUGUGGGUAGUUUUCUAAGGUUCAAGUGUUACAGUCUGCUGCUCUAGUCCAUAUUUGGAAUAUGUUCGAGGUGCUAUUGCUCAAUUUUAU
rnacentral:lncRNA from 1 species